rnacentral:lncRNA from 1 species
UCUGGAACUUCAAUAUUGACAUCAGGAGUGUCAAUAUCCACAGUGGGGCACUUUAUAUCAAUACCAGGACCCUUUAAUUCACCUUCCAUUUUAGGCAAGGAAGCAUCCACAUCACCCUUCACUUUGGGACCUUUCAGAUGCAAAUCAAAGUCAGGCAUAGAGAUCUUGGGAGCUUUUAUGUUCAUCUCAGGCAUCUUGAACUUGGGACCCUUCAGCUUUGCAUCUGGUCCUUCAAUGUUCACAUCAGGAACAUCAAUGUCCACUUUAGGCCCUGAGACAUCAAUGUCAGCCUUGGGCAGAUUUACAUCCACUUCUGGGCCCUCUGCUUUGAAGCCAGGCAUGCUGAACUUAGGCAUUUUCAUCUUGGGCAUCUUCAGGUGCCAAUCUGGGCCAUGAACAUCCAUAUCUGGGGCACUGAUGUCCACUUUGGGACCUUUGAUAUCAACUUCAGGGCCUUUGAGGUCUCCUUCCACUUUAGGUAAAGAAACAUCUACAUCACCCUUCAACUUUGGUCCUUUCAGGUUCAGGUCAAUUUCUGGCAUUGAAAUCUUGGGUGCCUUAAGGUGGAGAUCAGGCAUUUUAAACUUAGGGCCCUUCAGUUUCCCUUCUGGUCCUUCAAUAUUAACAUUAGGGCCUUCAAUGUCCACCUUGGGUCCUGAGACAUCAAGGUCAGCCUUGGGCAGAUUUACAUCCACUUCUGGACCUUCUCCUUUGAAGCCAGGCAUGCUGAACUUAGGCAUUUUCACCUUAGGCAUCUUCAAGUGCCAGUCAGGACCAUGUACAUCAACAUCGGGGGCACUGAUGUCCAUUUUGGGACCUUUGAUGUCAACCUCUGGGCCUUUGAGAUCACCUUCCACUUUGGGCAGGGAAACAUCUACAUCACCCUUCACUUUGGGACCCUUAAGAUGUAAAUCUGGCAUGGAGAUCUUUGGAGCCUUGAUGUUCAUCUCAGGCAUCUUGAACUUAGGACCCUUCAGCUUUGCAUCUGGACCUUCAAUAUUCACAUCAGGAACAUCAAUGUCCACCUUGGGUCCUGAGACAUCAAGGUCAGCCUUGGGCAGGUUCACAUCUACUUCAGGGCCUUCUCCCUUGAAGCCAGGCAUGCUGAACUUGGGCAUUUUCACCUUGGGCAUCUUCAAGUGCCAGUCUGGGCCAUGAACAUCCACAUCUGGAACAUCAAUGUCCACUUUGGGGCCUUUGAUGUCAACUUCAGGGACUUUAAUCUCACCUUCCACUUUGGGCAGAGACAUAUCCACAUCUGGAACAUCAAUGUCCACUUUGGGGCCUUUGAUGUCAACUUCAGGAACUUUAAUCUCACCUUCCACUUUGGGCAGAGACACAUCCACAUCACCCUUCACUUUGGGGCCUUUCAGGUUUAAGUCAAUAUCAGGCAUGGAGAUCUUUGGAGCCUUGAUGUUCAUCUCAGGCAUCUUGAACUUGGGGCCCUUCAGUUUUGCAUCUGGCCCUUCAAUGUUCACAUCUGGAACAUCAAUGUCCACCUUGGGUCCUGAGACAUCAAUGUUAGCCUUAGGCAGGCUCACAUCCACUUCUGGGCCCUCUCCUUUGAAGCCAGGCAUGCUGAACUUGGGCAUUUUCACCUUGGGCAUCUUCAGGUGCCAGUCUGGGCCAUGAACAUCCACAUCUGGAACAUCAAUGUCCACUUUGGGGCCUUUGAUGUCAACUUCAGGAACUUUAAUCUCACCUUCCACUUUGGGUAGAGACACAUCCACAUCACCCUUCACUUUGGGACCUUUCAGGUUUAAGUCAAUAUCAGGCAUGGAGAUCUUAGGGGCUUUGAUGUUCAUCUCAGGCAUCUUAAAUUUGGGGCCUUUUAAGCUUCCCUCUGGACAUUCUACAUUGAGUUCUGGGCCCUCAAUAUUCAUACUGGGACCUUCUAUAUUAAUGUCUCCUUUUGGUAAAUCCACAGCCACAUCAGGCCCUUCUGCUUUUAUGCCAGACACACCAAACUUGGGCAUUUUCAUUUUGGGCAUUUUUAGAUUCCAUUCUGGUCCAUGAACAUCCACAUCUGGUGCAUUAAGUUGAACAUCUGGUGCUUUAAUGUCCACUUUGGGUCCUUUGAAGUCUCCUUCUAAAUUUGGGCCUGCUGCAUCUAGGUCUCCUUUGACUUUAGGACCCUUCAAGUUUAGCUCCACAUCGGGCAUGGAGACUUUGGGAGAUGAAAUGCUCAGAAAGGGCAUUUUAAACUUGGAUCCUUUCACUUUACCUUGGACUUCAACUUCUGGAGCAUUAAUAUCAACUUUUGGAGCUGUUAUAUCAACAUCUGGCUUUUUAAGUUUGACAUCCACUUCAGGUGUUUGAACUUUGGACCCAGAAAAAUUAAAUUUAGGAAGCUUAAAACGAGAUUUCUUUGCUUUCCCAUCAAUAUUGACCUUGGGAGCAGAAAUGUCCACUUCUGGGCCCUUCAAAUCCACCCUGGGAACUUUAAUGUCACCCUCCAGUUUGGGUCCAGAGAUAUCAACAUCUCCCUUGACCUUUGAGCCCUUUAAAUUCAAGUCAAUUUCUGGCAUAGAGAUCUUGGGCAUGCUUACAUGCAUGUCAGGCAUUUUCAGUUUGGGACCCUUUAAUUUUCCUUCAGGACCAUGAACAUCAAUAUCUGGAGCAUUUACAUCUAAUUUUGGGCUCUUUAUGUCAAGAGAAGGGCCUUUCAAAUCACCCUCUAUAUUUGGAAUGGAAACAUCCACAUCUCCUUUCACAUUGGGGCCUUUAAGAUUAAGAUUCAAAUCUGGCAUGGAGAUCUUAGGAGCCUUUAUGUUCACCUCUGGCAUCUUAAACUUGGGACCCUUCAGUUUUGCAUCUGGCCCUUCAAUAUUCACAUCAGGAACAUCAAUGUCCACCUUGGGUCCUGAGACAUCAAGGUCAGCCUUGGGCAGGUUCACAUCUACUUCAGGGCCUUCUCCCUUGAAGCCAGGCAUGCUGAACUUGGGCAUUUUCACCUUGGGCAUCUUCAGGUGCCAGUCUGGGCCAUGAACAUCCACAUCUGGAACAUCAAUGUCCACUUUGGGGCCUUUGAUGUCAACUUCAGGAACUUUAAUCUCACCUUCCACUUUGGGCAGAGACAUAUCCACAUCUGGAACAUCAAUGUCCACUUUGGGGCCUUUGAUGUCAACUUCAGGAACUUUAAUCUCACCUUCCACUUUGGGCAGAGACACAUCCACAUCACCCUUCACUUUGGGGCCUUUCAGGUUUAAGUCAAUGUCAGGCAUGGAGAUCUUGGGGGCCUUGAUGUUCAUCUCAGGCAUCUUGAACUUGGGGCCCUUCAGUUUUGCAUCUGGCCCUUCAAUGUUCACAUCAGGAACAUCAAUGUCCACCUUGGGUCCUGAGACAUCAAUGUCAGCCUUGGGCAAGUUCACAUCCACUUCUGGGCCCUCUGCUUUGAAGCCAGGCAUGCUGAACUUGGGCAUUUUCAUUUUGGGCAUCUUCAGGUGCCAGUCUGGGCCCUGCACGUCCACAUCUGGAGCAUUGAUAUCCACUUUGGGACCUUUGAUGUCAACCUCUGGGCCUUUGAUGUCACCUUCUACUUUGGGCAGAGAAAUAUCUACAUCACCCUUCACUUUAGGACCCUUAAGAUGCAAAUCAAAGUCAGGCAUGGAGAUCUUGGGAGCCUUGAUGUUCAUCUCAGGCAUUUUGAACUUCGGGCCUUUCAAUUUGCCCUCUGGUCCUUCAAUCUCAAUGUCUGGCCUGCUCAUGUCCACAUUUGGCCCUUUGAGGUCUCCUUCCAAUUUGGGAACAUCUACAUCCACCUCCCCCUUUAUCUUUGGACUCUUUAAGUGAAGAUCAAUGUCUGGCAUGGAGAUUUUGGGAGUUUUGAAGUGCAUGUCUGGCAUCUUGAACUUGGGGCUUUUCCAUUUACCUUCUGGGCCUUCAACAGCAACUUCUGGUAUGUUGGCAUCCAAUUUGGGGCCCUUGAGAUCCAGUUCUGGACCCUUUAAUUCUCCUUCAAUCUUAGGGACUGAAACGUCAAUAUCUCCUUUGAUUUUAGGACCCUUUAAGUUGAAAUCAACAUCAGGCAUGGAGAUCUUGGGGGCCUUGAAGUGCAUGUCAGGCAUCUUAAAUUUGGGGCCCUUCAGCUUCCCUUCUGGCCCUUCAAUAUUCACAUCUGGAACAUCAAUGUCCACCUUGGGUCCUGAGACAUCAAUGUCAGCCUUGGGCAAGUUCACAUCCACUUCUGGGCCCUCUGCUUUGAAGCCAGGCAUGCUGAACUUGGGCAUUUUCAUCUUGGGCAUCUUCAGGUGCCAGUCUGGGCCACGCACAUCCACAUCUGGGGCAUUGAUGUCCACUUUAGGGCCUUUGAUAUCCACAUCUGGCACUUUCAUCUCACCUUCUAUCUUGGGCACUGUCACAUCCAUGUCCCCCUUGACUUUGGGGCCUUUCAGAUGCAAGUCCACAUCAGGCAUGGAGAUCUUAGGAGCCUUGAAGUGCAUGUCAGGCAUCUUGAACUUGGGGCCUUUCAACUUUGCAUCAGGACAUUCCAGAUCAACAUCAGGUACUUCCACAUCCACACUUGGGCCUUUUAAUUCUCCCUCUAAUUUUGGCACUGUCACAUCCACGUCACCCUUGACUUUGGGGCCUUUCAGAUGCAAGUCCACAUCAGGCAUGGAGAUCUUAGGAGCCUUGAAGUGCAUGUCAGGCAUCUUGAACUUGGGGCCUUUCAACUUUGCAUCAGGACAUUCCAGAUCAACAUCAGGUACUUCCACAUCCACACUUGGGCCUUUUAAUUCUCCCUCUAAUUUUGGCACUGUCACAUCCAUGUCCCCCUUGACUUUGGGGCCUUUCAGAUGCAAGUCCACAUCAGGCAUGGAGAUCUUAGGAGCCUUGAAGUGCAUGUCAGGCAUCUUGAACUUGGGGCCUUUCAACUUUGCAUCAGGACAUUCCAGAUCAACAUCAGGUACUUCCACAUCCACACUUGGGCCUUUUAAUUCUCCCUCUAAUUUUGGCACUGUCACAUCCAUGUCCCCCUUGACUUUGGGGCCUUUCAGAUGCAAGUCCACAUCAGGCAUGGAGAUCUUAGGAGCCUUGAAGUGCAUGUCAGGCAUCUUGAACUUGGGGCCUUUCAACUUUGCAUCAGGACAUUCCAGAUCAACAUCAGGUACUUUCACAUCCACAUUGGUCCCUUUGAUGUCAACUUGAGGGCCUCUGAGAUCAGCUUCCAUUUCUGGCACAGAAGCAUCUAUCUCUCCUUUCAGUUUGGGCCCCUUAAAAUUCAAGUCCACAUCGGGCAUAGAGAUCUUGGCGGCCUUGAUAUUCAACUUAGGCAUCUUAAAUUUGGAGCCUUUCAGUUUUCCUUCUGGACCCUCAAUAUCUAAGUCAGGAACAUCAAUGUCCACUUUGGGUCCUGAGACAUCAAUGUCAGCCUUGGGCAGGUUCACAUCCACUUCAGGGCCCUCUGCUUUGAAACCAGGCAUGCUGAACUUAGGCAUUUUCACCUUGGGCAUCUUCAGGUGCCAGUCUGGGCCACGCACAUCUACAUCUGGGGCAUUGAUGUCCACUUUGGGGCCUUUGAUGUCCACAUCUGGAACUUUCAUUUCACCUUCUAUCUUGGGCAUUGUCACAUCCAUAUCCCCCUUGACUUUGGGGCCUUUCAGAUGUAAAUCUACAUCAGGCAUGGAGAUCUUAGGAGUCUUGAAGUGCAUGUCAGGCAUCUUAAACUUGGGACCCUUCAGCUUCCCUUCUGGACAUUCAAUAUCAAUAUCACCAACAUCCACAUCAACUUCAGGACCCUUCAAUUCUCCCUCUACUUUUGGAAGAGAAACAUCUACACCACUUUUCAGUUUAGGUCCUUUCAAAUUAAGCCCAACAUCAGGCAUAGAGAUUUUGUGUGUCUGUAUAUUCAUGCUUGGCAUCUUGAACUUGGGACCCUUUAGUUUCCCUUCUGGCCCUUCAAUAUUCACAUCUGGAACAUCAAUGUCCACCUUGGGUCCUGAGACAUCAAUAUUGGCCUUUUGAAGAUUCACAUCUACUUCUGCACCCUCUCCUUUGAAGCCAGGCAUGCUGAACUUAGGCAUUUUGACCUUGGGCAUCUUCAGGUGCCAGUCUGGGCCAUGAACUUCCACAUCUGGUGCCUCUACUUUAGGACCUUUGAUGUCAACAGCAGGAGCUUUUAUUUCUCCUCCCACUUUUGGAACUGAGACAUCACAAUCUGCUUUUACCUUAGGGCCUUUCAAAUUCAAGCUAACAUCUGGCAUGGAUAUCUUCUGAGGCUUUAUGUUCAUUUCUGGCAUCUUAAAUUUUGGACCUUUUAGUUUUGUAUCUGGACCUUCAAUAUUUACAUCUGGAACAUCGAUGUCUACCUUGGGUCCUGAAACAUCAAUGUUGGCCUUGGGGAUGUCUACUUCUGGACCUUCUCCUUUGAAGCCAGGCAUGCUGAACUUGGGCAUUUUCACCUUGGGCAUCUUAAGGUGCCAGUCUGGGCCAUGAACCUCAACAUCUGGAGCAUCAAUGCCAACUUUGGGUCCUUUAAUGUCCACAUCUGGCACUUUUACUCCACCUUCUACCUCAG